rnacentral:miRNA from 10 species
UACAGGUAUGAGCCACUGUACCCAGCCUAUAAAUAUGUAUUUUAAAAAGUUUAGGCCAGGCACGGUGGCUCACGCCUGUA